CACACCACGUUGAAUAGCAUGUGGAAAAUUGGCAUUUCCAGUGAAUAAAAAUUAACUGGCAAACAACAAAAGGAAAAACGGAGGAAUGCUGUUGGAUGCUGUUUGGCUCGUCUUGUCUUGUCAGAGAAGGAACACGUGUGAAUCAAAUGGUUGAAGAUGAAUUUUACCUACACGUCUGGCUCCUGUUCAGAUGUUUUAGAUUUCUUAGUCAACUUUAUUUGCUUGUGUUUCUUUAAAAAAUGGUGUUUGCUCAUGUUAAAACAGGGAACUAAGCUGUAUGUAGAAAAUAAUGAUUUACCUUCUGAAACUGCAAUACGCACAAAUGGAGCAAGAAGAAUACAGGUACAGUGCCUGGCUACCCUAGUUCCUCAGAGAGAGGUUUUAGAUGCAUCUGUUUGCUGA
rnacentral:lncRNA from 1 species